UAGGUUCGGGCCCUCUUGAAGGAGGUAAAACCCUACUUCCUGCUUGAUUGACCUUGAUGAGUAUAGGGGUUACAAGACUAGAUCUACCUCGAGAUCCUAAUGGCUAAACCCUAGAUGUCUACCCUAUGUGAUUUGUGAUAGCCUCUACGGACUAAACCCUCCGGUUUAUAUAGACACCGGAGGGGCCUAGGAUGGUACAGAGCCGGUUUACAGAGAAAGGAAACUACUCAUCCGAGCAUCAAACUUGCCAUCCACGCAAAGGAGAGUCCCAUCCGGACACGGGAGAAUGCCUUCAAUCUUGUAUCUUCAUGGCCCAUCAGUCCAGCCCAUAUUACACAGCCCGAACACCCGAGGACCCCAUAAUCCAGGACUCCCUCAGUUGGCUUGCCUCGAAGCUCUGCUGAAAAGGAAGAAGUGUCGUCGUCGACGUAGUCAAUCACAAGGGCAUCAACAUCGGUCUCAGGGUCUACCGGAGAGAAGAGAGGGAAGAAACACUAAAUAGCAAGCAUACAAAAGUAGUAGAAAGCAUGACAUGGCGAUAUGCAGAGCUAGGGUUGACCUAACAUAGUGCUACACGUCGCAGACGGAGGGGGAAAACAUCUGAUGAUGAUUUCUCGGCGUUAGACGGAUUCUGGACAGAUGAAAGAGAUGGGACAAUUCCUUGUUUAGCAUGCUAGGAGCAUGUGACAGAUUAGCGAACCACGCAUCCAGGUUCAUUGGAUUUUUCUGAGCAACUUUCAUAUUUAAAACUUUUUCAUCCAAGCUACAAAUUAUUUUCUUCGUUUUUCAAAGAUUCUAGUACUUUCUAGAUUUAUUUAAAUUAACAGGAAUUUCCAGAAAAUGGGAUAUGAUGUCAGCAUGAUGUUAGGGUGAUUUAAGUAGUCAACUGAGCCUGACUGGUCAAACUGACCAGUGGGUCCCACCUAUCAUAGAGAGAGGACUUAACAUAGUUUAUUUAAAUCUAAUAUGAUGUUAAUUAGCAGCUGGGCCCCACGUGUCAGCGGAUAAUUAGGUUAACUAAUUAAGUUUUUAUUUGAAAAUGUUUUAAUUUGACUAUUUAAGUGGUGGGGCCCGCACAUUAGUGGCACAGGGGUGCCCAGUCAGUAGUUGACUGGGUCAAACCAGUCAACAUGACCCACCGGGCCUGCACGCCAACCUUACAGAGGAGGCCACGCGGCGCCACGUCGGAUGUCGGUGUCAGAGUUACUCCGGCGACCAUUUCACGCAGCGGCGCGCAUCGGGGGUGGUCGCAAAUCGACGUCCAGCUACCAUUUGGCGCGCGGUUGGGCUUGUCCGAACGAGCGGAGCGAGCCGCAUCGAACGGUGCAAGUCUAGCAAGUUGGGGUGGUCGGAUUCGUCAGCGGCGAGCUCGCGGGCGGCACCGGAGUUCGGUCACGACUGGGAUCAUCACUAGGGGGCACAGGGAAAUGCGCGCAGGGGCUCGCUGGACUCCUUGGAGCUCCAGGAGCUCGGUAGCGAGCUCAGACUCGAGCUGCGGCAGCAGUGGCUAUGGGGGUGAGCAUGGCUACGGCGGCGGGUACGGUCUUGACGAAAGCGAUGCCUGCGAGUGAGGAGAGGAGCAGGGAAAAGAGGGGAUUGACGCGGGUGCUCACCGAGGAGCUCAAUAAAGGCUCGAUGAGGGCUUAGUAGCAGCAGAACGGCUACGUUUGUCGCAGAAGCGCCGUCGAUCGAAGCAAAGGGGGCGGGUCGAUUCGCCCUCUGCAGCGGCUCCCAGCUCGCGUUUGUGGACGGAGACGAAGUGGACGACAACGGCGGAGGCGAGGGACACGACAGUGAGGCGAGGCGGUGGCGGUGGCCGCGGUGGCGAUGCAACACGGCGCCGGUGGCGCUCGUGAGGAGCGAGCGCGUGAGGGAAAGGGAGAGGCAGACAAGGGGAGGAGGGGGAAGUGGAUCUGGGUGAGUGGGCGGGCGAGUGGAGGAGAUCCUGAGGCGUCGGGGGAUCUUAUCCUCUCGCCGAUGACGCCAACG
rnacentral:lncRNA from 1 species